rnacentral:rRNA from 1 species
GGUGGGACUAAGCCACGCUAGUCGAACGAACUUUACGUUAGUGGCACACUGCUCAGUAACACGUAGCUAACCUAACCUUAGGACGAGGACAACCCCGAGAAAUUGGGGCUAAUCCGCGAUAGGUGUGAUGUCCUGGAAUGGUAUUACGCCCAAAGGUGUUCGCACGCCUAAGGAUGGGGCUGCGGCCGAUCAGGCAGUUGGUGAGGUAAAGGCUCACCAAACCUUUGACCGGUACGGGCCAUGAGAGUGGUAGCCCGGAGAUGGACACUGAGACAAGGGUCCAGGCCCUACGGGGCGCAGCAGGCGCGAAACCUCCUCAAUGCACUCACGUGCGAAGGGGUUACCUCGAGUGCCGCCUGAAGAAGGCGGCUUUUCCAUGGUCUAAAAAGCCUAGGGAAUAAGAGGGGGGCAAGACUGGUGUCAGCCGCCGCGGUAGCACCAGCCCCUCGAGUGGUGGGGAUGAUUAUUUGGCCUAAAGCGUCCGUAGCCGGCCGGGUAAGUCUCCCGUUAAAUCCAGCGUCUUAAGCGUUGGACUGCGGGAGAUACUGUCUGGCUAGAGAGUGGGAGAGGUGUAC